rnacentral:rRNA from 1 species
UACGUGGGCACCAAGCGUUGUCCGGAUUUAUUGGGCGUAAAGAGCUCGUAGGCGGUUCGGUUAGUCGGGUGUGAAAACUUUGGGCUCAACCCAAAGCGUGCACUCGAUACUGCCGUGACUAGAGUUCGGUAGGGGAGUGGGGAAUUCCUAGUGUAGCGGUGAAAUGCGCAGAUAUUAGGAGGAACACCGGUGGCGAAGGCGCCACUCUGGGCCGAAACUGACGCUGAGGAGCGAAAGCGUGGGUAGCAAACAGG